rnacentral:rRNA from 1 species
AUAAUAACUUUGCAAAUCGAAACUACGUUUCGAUACAUCAUUCAAGUUUCUGACCUAUCAUGCUCUCGAUGGUAGUGUAUUGGACUACCAUGGCAGUCACGGGUAACGGAGAAUUAGGGUUCGAUUCCGGAGAAGGAGCCUGAGAAACGGCUACUACAUCUAAGGAAGGCAGCAGGCGCGUAAAUUACCCAAUCCUAAAUCAGGGAGGUAGUGACAAGAUAUAACAACGCGAUUAAAAUGUCGCGAUUGUAGUGAGGGUAUUCUAAAAAUAGCUUCGAGUACGAUUGGAGGGCAAGUCUGGUGCCAGCAGCCGCGGUAAUUCCAGCUCCAAUAGCGUAUAUUAAAGUUGCUGCAGUUAAAAAGCUCGUAGUUGAACUUCAUGAGCAGUAGGUAGCUUACUACCUGCUCUCUACCAGUCUUCGACUGUUACUGUGAGAAAAUUAGAGUGUUUCAAGCAGGCUAUUGCAGGAAUACAUUAGCAUGGAAUAACGAAUGUACCUAC